GUACUCGCUUUGGCAGCACGUAUACUGACGUUGGAAUGAUAGAAGAUAAGCAUGGCCCUUGUGCAAGGAUGACAUGCAAAUUUGUGCAGCAUUCCAUAUUUUG
ensembl:snRNA U6 U6 spliceosomal RNA